ACUUCUUUCUCUCUUAAUUCUCUCUCAAUUAUGUGUGUAUGUUCUUGCUUUAAUUAAGUUCCAACACGAUGAACCCUAUCAAAAUCACUAAUUCUUCAAUCGAUUUUCCAUCUUCUUCAUCUCUAUUUUCGUGUUCCAUAUCCGAGCAUUGUGUUCUUGUUGCAGUUGUAGAAGAACACAAAUUUAGCUCUCAAGAAUAGUUCGAAUUUGCGUGCACAAGGAGGAGAAGAAGAAAUAUUUUGAAUUUGCGGAUCUGAAGGAGAAGAUUGUUAGAUCCAGGACUCUUAGUGCUUUCAAUUUUGCCUAUAGAGACGAUUCUGGAAAGCUUGUCGACAGAACACAAUCUGAAGUUACACCAGUAGCUGAGAAUGUUGACAAAACACAAUCUCAAGAAUAUUUUUGUGGUUUUCAAUGUGAAUGUAUGGCUCUAUUUUGGGGAGUCCUGAUUUGGAAAAAAAGAAGGCUAAAGGAGUAUUGCUAGAAAGUGGACUUCCAUAC